UCUGAAAAAUGAAUGCAGACG
rnacentral:miRNA from 1 species